rnacentral:rRNA from 1 species
GAUGAACGCUGACAGAAUGCUUAACACAUGCAAGUCAACUUGAAUUUGGGUUUUUAACUUCGGUUUGGGUGGCGGACGGGUGAGUAACGCGUAAAGAACUUGCCUCACAGCUAGGGACAACAUUUGGAAACGAAUGCUAAUACCUAAUAUUAUGAUAAUAGGGCAUCCUAUAAUUAUGAAAGCUAUAAGCGCUGUGAGAGAGCUUUGCGUCCCAUUAGCUAGUUGGAGAGGUAACGGCUCACCAAGGCGAUGAUGGGUAGCCGGCCUGAGAGGGUGAUCGGCCACAAGGGGACUGAGACACGGCCCUUACUCCUACGGGAGGCAGCAGUGGGGAAUAUGGGACAAUGGACCGAGAGUCUGAUCCAGCAAUUCUGUGUGCACGAUGAAGUUUUUCGGAAUGUAAAGUGCUUUCAGUUGGGAAGAAACAAAUGACGGUACCAACAGAAGAAGUGACGGCUAAAUACGUG